rnacentral:rRNA from 1 species
AACGAACGCUGGCGGCGUAGCUUAACACGAUGGCAAGUCGAAACGCGAAAGGGGACCUUCGGGUCCUGAGUAAAGUGGACGCACGGGUGAGUAACGCGUAGAUAACCUGUCUUCAUGUCUGGAAUAAUACGCCGAAAGGGGUACUAAUACCGGAUAUUCUUGCUUUUCAUAAGUUAUGCAAGCAAAGGUGGCCUCUGCAUAUGCUACUGCAUGAAGAGGGGUCUGCGUACCAUUAGCUAGUAGGUGGGUAAUGGCCUACCUAGGCGACGAAUGGUUAGCGGGUCUGAGAGGAUGAUCCGCCACACUGGCACUGGAACACGGGCCAGACUCCUACGGGAGGCAGCAGUGAGGAAUAUUGCGCAAUAGGGGAAACCCUGACGCAGCGACGCCGCGUGAGUGAAGGAAGGCCUUCGGGUCGUAAAGCUCUGUCAAGAGGAAAGAAGUGUACAAUGGCUAAUACCUGUUGUAUUUGACGGUACCUCUAAAGGAAGCACCGGCUAACUCCGUGCCAGCCGCAGC